rnacentral:rRNA from 1 species
UACGUAGGGUGCAAGCGUUAAUCGGAAUUACUGGGCGUAAAGCGUGCGCAGGCGGCCAUGCAAGACAGAUGUGAAAUCCCCGGGCUCAACCUGGGAACUGCAUUUGUGACUGCAUGGCUAGAGUACGGUAGAGGGGGAUGGAAUUCCGCGUGUAACAGUGAAAUGCGUAGAUAUGCGGAGGAACACCGAUGGCGAAGGCAAUCCCCUGGACCUGUACUGACGCUCAUGCACGAAAGCGUGGGG